CUCCAUAGCAAAGACAGGUCGGUGCUAUCUGAGCCAUGUCAGCUUGCAGAGCAUGGCUUGGGGAGAGCUGUUCUCUUUGGAUUUCUCUUCAGUUUUUAGUUUCCUCCCCACUCUUCCCACGGAGGACACAGUUAUCUCUUUCAUUCACUUACAGUCAUUUCUUUGCAGUGACUGGAAAAACACCCUCACUCUAACAUCUUCUCUUGCCUUUUCCUCUGUGAAGAACUCAGUAUUGAAGGUUUAAAGAAAAGACCAUGGCAAAGGGUUUCAGUAUCCUGCCAUGUCACGUGAACCAUGCAAGUGAUUAUGCGGAAGAAAGACACCUGCAUAUCUGUUGGUUGGAGAGUCCUACAGGCAGCUUACACUCUUUUUGGAUGCCAUAGGCAAGACACCCAAGUCUUGGCACCAACUCUCCCCAAACCCAACUUAUAUGAAAUUCAUUCCAUCUUUUUCAGUCCUAAAGGCUCUAAGUAGAGAAGGAGCCAAUGCCAUGGACAGGGUGUUCAGCUUGGAUCCAAACCCUAGAAGACAAUGGAGCCCCAUUGUGACUGACACAGUGAGCCACUGGAUGGCACUGUGGAUCCAUGCAGAUGAAGGUACUUAUUAGUUGUUUUAUAUUUCUCUGUUUCAUACCACUAACGGUUCACUUCUUGAGAGGCCAGAUGAAGAACAUUAUGGAGGUUGAUGGAGAGUUUGACAAGAGAGGCUUCUGUGGACUGACAGUGGAAACCUUGUUGGAGCAGAUUGAAAAGUAACACAGAAAAUUGUGACUGGUGAGAUAGCUAAAUGCAUAGUGUUUACUGCACAACAUGAACAUGAGAGUUCGGAUCAUCAAAACCUACAUAAAAGCUGUAUAGGUCAGGUGGCAAGAUCUCUCAGAGAGCAAAGGCGCUUGCCGCUAAGGCUAAAGACCUGUAUUUGAUCCCUGGAAUCCACAUCAUUGGUCGAAGGAAAGGAAUGGGCUCCUGCAGGUCAGCCUGUGACUCCCAUACCUACACAUGUCAUGCAUUCCUCAAUAAAUAUGAUUUUUUUAUAUAAAACUGGGCAUGCAUGGUGAUCUACCUAUAAUCUCAGUGCUUAGAAGUCAGGGGACUCCCCAAGAUCUGCUGUCUAGAGCUGUAGCUAGACCAGUCAAAUCCCAAGUUCCUGGUUCAAUAAGAGUUUCUGCCUCAGUGAACAAAGGAAAGAACAACUGAGGAGGAUGCUUAGUGUCAACUCUUGGUCUCCACAUGGAUGCUGUUCUCACAAGUGUGACAUACGUCUCUCCCUCUCCCCUCCCCCCUUUCUCGCGCGCACACACACACAUGCACACACACUAAGACAUGAGGAAAUGGUAGCAGCAUGCAGAUUCGGUCCUCUGUAUUUAUAGGUUUUGCACCUGUGUAUACCAUUAAGCACAUACUAGCAAAAGUACAUACAGAUCAUGUACAGGACCUUUUUAUCGUUGUGAUUACUUUCUAAACAAAGUCAAAUACAGACCUAUUUAUAUUAACAGCAAUCUAGAGAUAGUUUUAAGCAAGUAGGAUGAUGUGUGUAGAUCAUAUGCAGAUAUGUCUUCAGGAACAUGUGUAUCCAUGAGUUAUCCAUGAGCUUCCUGGAACUCAUACUUCUAGGUUAUUGAGGGAAAAGAGUAUUUACAACUCUUAUGAGAAUUUUCUUGUAAAGAAAAGGCAAAAGAGCCCCCUGUGCCAGAACCAACCAACCAACCAAACAAACA